rnacentral:lncRNA from 1 species
GGAGCUUUGGUUAACACGGAGAGAAGCUACACAUAGACUCACACAGUAUGCAAAUACCUAUGGAGAUACAUAAGGAAAGGCCCCGGCCUGGUUAAGGAAAAGGAGCCGAUAAAACCUCUCCAGGUAAGGAACAGCCUAGAAAGGGAAUCUCAGUUAUUCCUUCUGAUAUGGCUUAGCUUUCCCCAGGGCGCCUACUUUGAAGAAAGAGCCCUGAUUAUUGGCCCGGGGAACGUCUGGGGGCAGGGUGCCCAUUUCCUAGGCGGGACCCGACCGGAAGCAAACUUGUAGGCAACAACAUUUCCUCUAGUUCCUCUCCUCUUCCCCACCAGGGUCCUCAGCCACACACCCCGAGCCCUGCCUGCGGGCCCAGCCCCCCCAUUUCCGGAGCCUGCGCCCCGGACCCAGCGGGGGCUGAUCCCUGGGAAAGGCCUGGCUUCCUCUUCCUUCCUGUCCCUGCCCCACCUCCGCCGGGCUCCACAGCCGCCGGGAGCCCAGGGCCGAGACGGGAGGAGGGCACCCACCUGGUCGGUGUCACAUGCUGCUUCGGCCCCAGCGUCCCCUCCAGGUCCCGGCGCCGGCCGCAGUCCCCAGAGCCGUCCCCAGCGCAGGCCCGGCCGCCCCACCCGCGGCCCGCCCCUGGCCGCCCGACGGGAGGGAGGGAUCGGGUUCUCCUAGGAAGUUUCAGGUCAUUCAACAUUUAUUCAACCAAAAAUACUAAGUCAGCUCUAUACAAACUAAUGGAAGGAUACAGCUAUGCAAAUAUAGAACACUAAAGUGUUACAUGACAGAUGUAUGAGAACUGGGAAGAAAGGACCCUGAAAAGUUAGCUGGUUCCAAGUGACCCUCCAAGGGGAAGAGUGCUGGAUUCAGAGCCCACCUCAGGGGAAGACAGGACCCUCUCCAAGAUGGUUUCCCUAGAAGCUACUACCUCUCCCUGGAGGGUGGAGAUAUUUGCUGGUCAAAGCAAGAAGGCCCUCUGCAGAUGCUGACACCUUGAUAUUGGACUUCCCAGAUUCCAGAACUCUGAGAAAUAAAUUUCUAUUUUAAAUAAAUUACCCAGUCUGUGAUAUUCUGUUAUAGCAACACAAAAUGGACUUAGACGGUAUGCUAAUGAGAUGACUGCUGGCAGGGAGCUCUGAAAUAACUUUAGGAUAGGGGCUGG